rnacentral:rRNA from 1 species
AGCAGCCGCGGUAAUUCCAGCUCCAAUAGCGUAUAUUAAAGUUGCUGCAGUUAAAAAGCUCGUAGUUGAAUUUCGGGAUCGAUAUAUCGGUCGUGCCUCGGUACGUACUGGUAUUUUCGGUUUCUACCUUCUGACGAACCUUGAUGUCAUUAAUUUGGUGUCUUGGGGAAUCAGGACUGUUACUUUGAAAAAAUUAGAGUGUUUAAAGCAGGCUCACGCUUGAAUACAUUAGCAUGGAAUAAUGAAAUAGGACGUUUGAUUCUAUUUUGUUGGUUUCUAGGAUCGACGUAAUGAUUAAUAGGGAUAGUUGGGGGCAUUAGUAUUCAAUUGUCAGAGGUGAAAUUCUUGGAUUUAUUGAAGACUAACUACUGCGAAAGCAUUUGCCAAGGAUGUUUUCAUUAAUCAAGAACGAAAGUUAGGGGAUCGAAGACGAUCAGAUACCGUCGUAGUCUUAACCAUAAACUAUGCCGACUAGGGAUCGGAUGAUGUUAAUUUUUAAUGACUCAUUCGGCGCCUUACG